rnacentral:rRNA from 1 species
AUGCAUACUUCCUGCGCUUUCAGAGGAUCUAAAUCAGUCUUCAUCCUUUCGCUUUUCAAAGCCCCUCGCAAUAAAUAUGUAAAUUUGUUUCGCAGAAAUUCAGAGAUUUCGAUCUCCUCGAAAGAAAAUGAGUUCGAUCAGCAACACCGGUCUCCGCAGCACCAGGAUAAAGACCUUUUUACCCAUAACCUUUCUCUACAGCAUUGGAACCAAGAUCGGGCUUGGCAUAGUUACGAGGUUCCCGUUCUAUUUAACUAA